rnacentral:rRNA from 1 species
CUUUAUUGGAGAGUUUGAUCCUGGCUCAGGACGAACGCUGGCGGCGUGCCUAAUACAUGCAAGUCGAGCGAGUCUCUUUCAGAGGCUAGCGGCGGACGGGUGAGUAACACGUAGGCAACCUGCCUCUCAGACUGGGAUAACAUAGGGAAACUUAUGCUAAUACCGGAUGGGUUUU